rnacentral:rRNA from 1 species
UACGUAGGAGGCGAGCGUUGUCCGGAUUUACUGGGCGUAAAGGGAGCGUAGGCGGACUUUUAAGUGAGAUGUGAAAUACUCGGGCUCAACUUGAGUGCUGCAUUUCAAACUGGAAGUCUAGAGUGCAGGAGAGGAGAAUGGAAUUCCUAGUGUAGCGGUGAAAUGCGUAGAGAUUAGGAAGAACACCAGUGGCGAAGGCGAUUCUCUGGACUGUAACUGACGCUGAGGCUCGAAAGCGUGGGGAGCAAACAGG